rnacentral:rRNA from 1 species
UACAGAGGGUGCGAGCGUUAAUCGGAAUUACUGGGCGUAAAGCGUGUGUAGGUGGUUGUAUAAGUUAGAUGUGAAAUCCCCGAGCUUAACUUGGGAAUUGCGUUUAAGACUGUUCAACUAGAGUACUGUAGAGGAUAGUGGAAUUUCCAGUGUAGCGGUGAAAUGCGUAGAUAUUGGAAGGAACACCAGUGGCGAAGGCGACUGUCUGGAUAGAUACUGACACUGAGACACGAAAGCGUGGGGAGCAAACAGG